rnacentral:lncRNA from 1 species
CUUGAUAUUUUAUCAGAUUUUUGCUUUUAUUAUUUCAAGGCUACAUUGUUAAAUGUAUAAAUACUCAUGAGCAUUGUACAGUUUGGGUUUGUUAAUAUUCAUUAUUAUGAUUUGAAUCUGGAAUAUCUCCCAAAGGUUCAAAUGCUUUAGGUCUCUGGUGCAGCAAUGUUCAGAGGUGGGGUUUGGGGGACAUGAUUGGAUUCUGUGCACUCUAAGCUCAUUGGUAGAUCAGUGAAUUGAUCUAGUUGAUGGACUAAUAAUGUGAAAGAACUGCUGGGAGGAGAUAGAAAUUGUAGGCAGCGGGGCAUGGUUGGAGAAAGCAGGACAUGGGAGAAGUGCCUGUGGGACUAUAUCUUGUCCUUGAUUCCUGACCUGCUUGCUGGUUGCAAUGAGCUGAACAGCUUUCUUCUACCUUGCCCUUCACCUUGAUGUUUUACUUCACCUCAGAUCCAAAACAAUAUAGCCAGUCGAC